GACAGUAUGCCAGAGUGGUUAAUGGGUGAGACUCGAACUUAUCUGAGUUAUCUCAUGGGCUUUGCCCGCGCAGGUUCAAAUCCUGCUGCUGUCG